UGAGUUUAUGUGUAUAGCGUUUGAAAAUUCAUCGAGAAAGUCACGGAUCUUGAAACUUUUUGCGCAAUGAAAAUUGUAUCGGUUGGUCUGAAAUUGAAACUCUCAACCCAAAAACAAACCGUGAUGGUCGCGGAUUUCAAAUUGGAUAACUGACUUGGCUAGAAUGGAGCCGCAAAGUUCUAAAGGUUGAAAUUUGCUAGUUAAAUUCGCAAAAUGAAGACGGCAACUACCACUUUCACAAAUGUGAAGCCCAUGGGCAGAUGAACUUUUUGAGACUAGACUCACAUCCAGAUCCAGCCAUGGUUAGAGGAGAGAGAAACGAUUGAAGGAAGUUCGG
rnacentral:misc_RNA from 1 species